GUUUUAUAAGAAAGCUAACACUUAAUCGCUGCCUCAUUAGCCCUACCCAAACUAAACUAACAUGAAACAUCAAUCACUAUAAUAAAAACAAUAAAAAUAAACAAGAAUUUUUAUAAUAUUUUGUUUUUGCUUCUAAACAGUGUUUCAACUUAGUUCAUGUAUCUACAUAUACUCUCAUAUAUACAUAUACAUAUGUGUUUAUAUGUGUGUAUGUAUACAAGUAAGUUGGAAUAAAAAGCGAAUCACAACGAUUUGUAUUGCUGUCAAUCCACAAAGUGCAAAUAUGUAUGUACUUAUUAAUAUUUAUAUAUAAUACAUGAACCUACACAUAUGUAUGUAUAUACAUAUAUACACCAAAGAGGAACUAUUUCUAGGGAAAAAAUGCAUUUUUGCAUGCAAUUACAUAUCUUAGCAAAUAUACAUACAUAUGUAUAUUUUAUAUUUGUAUACAUAUACAUAUGUCUCAGUGUAUGUACGUGCGAGCUUAUGGAAAAUAACAGCAGUCAACGUGGAGCACAUGUUUCCAGCAAUCAUGAUUACAGCGCUAUAGCCAAGGCGAAAAAAGUCGUACUAUAUAAAUAUAUACAAACAUAUUCAUAUAUAUAUAUAUCUGUAUAAAUAUAUGUAUGUAUAUAUUUAUAUCAACCGGUAUGCCAGUCCGUGUUCUUUAGCACUCAUUCAACUUUUUAAGAGACACCGCACAGCGCUGCUUUUUUAAUUAGCAUUCUGCUGCUACUCCUACAAUUUAUUUCCCCACAGCAGCGCUUGCGACGCACACGCACACUCACUUACACAUAUAGAGAUAAAUGCAAUGCAGGCUGUUAUUUCUCCUCCGCUGCACAUAGCUGUGGGGUAUUUAGCAGCUAACUAACUCAGCUUGUGUGUAUGCAUUGCGCUACGAGUUCAAAGCUCACCUGUAUCUGUAACAGCUACACACACACACACAUACAACCACAUGUAACUGCAUAGUUCAACUUGUAAACCGCCCUCCGCGCCACACUUUUAUCAAUUUAUCUACACCGCUAUACGCUUGGGUGUGUGCGCAGUUUGGCUGCAAAGGGGCGCGCAAGCAGAAAAUAAAAAUGGCCGCGGUUUUCCAAGCCCUUACCGCCGCCAAAUACCCAGCGCUCAUUCUAAAAAUUAUAGAAUAUACUUAUACACACAUAUAUACUGUAAGUAACUGUUUUGUUGCUACGCUGCGCCGUGCUUUGUCCAUUGCUCGUGUUGUUGUUGUGUGUGUGUUUCUAAAAACCACCCUCCGCUGGCUAGCCAAGCAUGCAGAAAAUUUUCCCCAUUUUUUCACGUUCAACUACUUUGCGCCCUCUUUAGCUGGCAUUUUUAUUACUUUUCUUGCUUUUCAGCGCGCGUUUUGUUUUUAUUGUUUUUGCGCGCGCUGCGCCUUGUUUGCUUGUUACUGUGCGAACGUGCGCUUAGUUAGUUAGCGCGUGGCACGUCAAAUUUGCUGUCGACCGUGCGCGCGCUCUCGCUGCACGGCGCGCGCGGCGUCUCUUUUCGCAAGUGUCUAUUUGCGGCAGAGCGCAAUACGUGGCACAGCAGCAACAACAAUAAUAACAACAAAAAUAGUAAUGAAAACAACAGAAAUAGUAAUAAAAACAACAAAAAUAGCAAUAAUAACAACAACACUUGUACUCUUAGGUAUUUGCGCGCUGCAAGAGCACCCUCGUUGGGUGGUGCGCGUGGCAGCGCUUCGUGUUGCAAGUUGCUUACGUGGCUAGUGCGCUGUUGCUGUUGUUGCUGCUGGCUUCUUGUUUUGUUAUUUGCGCUUGCAGGCGCUGUAGAGGGUGGCAACUGCAAACUCAAGUUGGUGUUCCAUUUUUAAAAAUGAACACAUGGCCACAGGCACUCACACAUACACGCGCACAGACACAUUUGCGAAUUAUUUUUGACACACACACACAGACAUAAGCGAAAAAAAUUGUAUGAAAUCAGAUUUUCAACCACCACAGCUGUUUGUGUGUGUGUGUGUAGCGCAAAAAAUAGCAUACCCACACACACAGAGGCGGCUAUAAAAAACUUUGUUUCCCUUGUGCGAAGCAGUUCGCAAAAAGCAAAAAAAAAGUAGAAGAAAAUAUGUGGAAAAAAUUUGAAAAAAUGUAGAAAAAGCGCACGCUAUUUAGGGGAAACGCUGCGCGGCAACAGCAAAUCCGGAAAAUGAGGCAUAAAUUAUUUUUAUAGGUGGAAUAUGCGCGCGCGUUCGCUAUGGUUAAGUGGCGGCAUGGUGGUGGCGCGGCAUUUACCACAUACAUACACAACUAAAUAUAUAUAUCUACAUUAUAAUUAUUUAUGUGCGCGCUUGUGUGUAUGCGCGCGCCUUUGGCGGCUUGUCGCUGUUUUUAAUUUAAUUUCUUCCUUUUUCUUUAGCGCGGACACUGAGUGUUGUUGUUUUUGCUGCCGCCACAUUUUGCGUAUCGAAUUUUUGUGGCGCAUUUGGCAUGUCAGGCCAGCAGCAGCUUCAUUGCCGCCUUGGCAAUCGCGCACGCCUCAGUACACUUUCGACUUUGGCAUAUCGUUGUCGCCGGCCACGCAUUCGCCGCUUUCUGCAACAACGCACAGCACAAGCGGCGCUCGGCGCUUGACGUCACUGUGGCAUCACUGAUUUUGGCAGCAGCGCGCACACACAAACAAAAAAAGAAACACAGCGCGCUGCCACAACGCGCGCUCAUUAUUUUGCCGCCGCUUGGCGCACAACAUUGCGCUGCCACUUGUUUCUUGCAACACGCUGCGUCGUGCUCCAUUUUUUCCUCUUGCACAAUUCGAUCUGCAACAUUUAUUUCAACUAACACCGCGGCGUUUUUUUCACAAAUUUAACUGUUGUGCUUUUUUUGCGACUUUCGGGCGCUUAAUCUCCGCGUGCGCAUAACCAACGCCGCGUCCAAUCGGCUGUGGCUCGGUUAUCAUUCGGUAGUUCGUGCUGCCGCCACAACAGUCGGCCGGUAAAGCACAUAUGUUGAGUUUAUAACGCGCUUUCGGUUGCUAUUACUGCUUUUUUUGUUGUUGUUAUUGGUGAUGGUGUUGGCGUUGGUGGUGCUUGCGCUGACGCUGUGAUGGCCGUUACUGCCGCCCCCUGGCAUGCUGUUAACAAGCGCGCACACACACACACGCGCGCGACGUGCAGCGGGCAGGCGCGCCUCAGCAGCAGCAUCUCUGUGACGGCGGCGCUGACUAGCCGGCCGGUCGGUCGGCCGUUUGGCGUUGCUUGGCUGUCAGCCAGGCUCCGUGGCUUAUCCUGCAUCCUGGCCUCGUGCAGUUGUCCAACAGCAGCCGGUGUUGGCAGUAGUACAUCAGCUUGUCGUCGUCGCUGACACAUUGAUAAAUAAAUCUUAAUCAACUUCAAAAUUACUAUUCAGUCAGCGCCAGAGCAUGUAACAACAGCAGCAACAAGCUUGGCGCAACAUCAUAUUAAUUCCACAUAAAAGCAAAAUGUCGUCGCAAUGCUAACUAACUGGUGCGCCAUGGCGUCGUAGCCAGAUAUGUUAUAAUCCGAGUGUCAGUUGUUUAAUUUACCGCGUACGCUCGGCCGUUCAACGCUCCGCUCGCUCGUAUAACAACAACACUAACUUUGCACUAACUUUUGCUUAACUGCAAAUGAUUUAUGGCCAAGAGACAAUGAAACCGAAUCUCCGUAUACAAAAGUGCCGCUAACACUGGUCGCAAAUGCACCUAUGAUUGCAUAUGAACGUCGCAUAACGGUUCUUGUUGUCAUUUGUCGUUUGGUGCGUUCGAGUUUUCAUUUGGUUUGGUUUUCGGCUGCUAUUCCGUUUGUUGUGUGUUGCCGGCUUGUUGGUUGUCGCCUGUCAGUGUUUUCGACUGCCGGACGGACAGACGCUCACAUGUGCUCGCCUAUACAUAUGUAUGUAUGUAGACGCGCGUGUAUGUGGCAACGUGCAACAUGCUGUAAUUUCCGUGUUUAGAACUGUGUCGGUGUUGCCGCUAUUGUUGUUGUUAUAAUUAUUGCCGCCGUUGUGCAAAAACUCGACUCAAGUGUGGCAAACGGAUCGGUGAAUGUUGCUAAAUUCCUGUAAAUCAAAAUGUGGCACAUGCGAGUGAACGCGCUUGUAGAAAUAGACUUUCCGGUGGGCUGUUGCAGUUGGGCGAGCAAUCGCGGAGAACCAAUCGGGAAUGGCGAGAAAACAGAUUCUUCCAACCGCCAAGCUGAAUACAAAAACUACAUGAUUUUUUAAACAAACAGACUUCAAAAACGAAACGCUCAUUUGUCCGCCGUGCAGUAGGUGAUAAAGUUAUAGGAGAAAUUGCCUCCCAGGAAAUCCAAAAUUUAAAUCGAAAGG